AAAUAGUUGUUUAUGUUCACCUUUAAUCGAAAGUAGUAAUGAACUUUUUCCCAGAACCUGAAAUCAGAAUUUUGGUACUGCAUAUGAGUUGUGAAUUAUGGUGCAUAAUGUGGGGAGGUUUGGCCUCGGUGACGUUGUUCCUUUCUUCUUCUUCUUCUUCUUCUUCUUCUUCUUCUUCUUCUUUUUUCCUGAAAAAAAAAAGUGCCCAAUUGCCAGAGAAACUUACAAAAUUGCACUGGUGGUUUUCAUGGUC
rnacentral:misc_RNA from 1 species